ACAUAAAAGCAGAGUGUCUGUCAAUAAACCCUCGGUUCUUCUUGACCCUUCAAAACGUAGCCUCGUCUCGUUCUUGAAAGGGGAAUCUCUGCAGCUUAAUCACUUAGCUCUUUUCAGAGCUACACCUGGCUUCCACUCCUGAUCCAGGAGGCGACUCCAUCACUACACAGCGACUGCCGGGAAGAAAGGGAAGUCCCUAACGGCUGGUACCCUCUCUACACCAGGGUAGCCGUU